CGUGUGGUUUCAUUUCAUUCGUCACUGAACUCUGGGCAAGCGAAAAAGAAGACCUUACAACGCUUCCGUAACGUAAAAAACCACACGGCCGGUGGAGAGGUUUGAACGUAUCUCGGAGCAUCGCAGCGUCUCGUGUCGCUCGCCGGGAGUCGAGUGAGGAGUGAAGUCAACCGCGGCUGGCCGGCCGAUCGUCACUUUGUUGUUGAUAGCGGGCGUUCGGCAUUCUCGGUCGCGGAGCAACUGAGGAAUCUGUUUACCACGCGUAGCGGGGGCUCGGAGAUCGAUUCGAUCGGAAUGUGACACGUCGCUCGGACAAACGGAGAGUUUAUUCACUUCCGACAGCAGCCUCGUUCGGCAGACGACUUCGGACCGAGCACGGCGUCGAAUCUUCUCGAAGGUGAGAGAAUGCUCGCUUCUUCCUGUCUCCCGUCAUUCGGAACUGCGGAGGGUUAAUUACGUCAACAAAGAUGCGAAGCUGGUCGAGCUGCUGCCGCGGCCAACUUUACUCGAAACCGGACAUCGAACGAGAAAGACGACGUUGAGAGGUAAGCGUGUGGGAAAGGAGGAAAAACACGUUCAUCCUGGACUUCCAGAGCAAAGUGUCGCCCGCUUCAGGAAGAGAAUCGGCGGUCCACGUCCUGCGAUUCGGAGCUUCUUCACAUCGUAGAAUCGAGACUCUGGAUACAAGGCGGCGACUCGGAGCUUCUUCACAUCGUAGAAUCGAGACUCUGGAUACAAGGCUGCGAUGCGUCGAUUCCAAUACUGAGAAUUUUCACCGAGGAGGCGAUAGGAUACUCGGAGGACUUUUUGGUGCUCGAGAACACCACCUGGAAAUCUGGGAUUCUCUGCUCGGCAGGUCAACUCUUUUGCAUCAUCCUCACGGCCGACAACCAGGGCCAACUUGCUCACGGUUGAAUUGCUUCGCUGAGUAGAGACGAUUGAAGGAUCUCGGAUUAGGUUUCCAUCCAGCAUCCAUACUAUCCUUGCGGCCGGUGAACUCCCCCAAGUUUCGCACCUCGCUCCCACCGGACGUCCUGCGUAGAUCACUUCCGUAUCAAGGACGAUCUUCACCACUGCGGGCUUUACUGAAAUGGAAUACGGAUUUAGAUUAUUCUUUUGAUCACAAGGUCAAUGGCAAUCUACCCCAAGACACUGAUCGAAGAUAAAUAUCGAAGAUGAUCUACGUAACCGUUCAGGAUUGGAUGCAUCGUUUUUCAUCGCAACCGAUCAGAGACGUCGAGCCUCGACUACGCUUAGUAGACACGCAAAAUUAAUACGGCGUGUAGUUGGUGAAGGCUAUGAUACUUGGAAAAUUCAAGGAAAUUCAGACUCCCAAAAAGCAUACGAAUCCUGUAAAGAGAAGGCUGAAGUGGAGGAUGAAAAACAGCGAAAAUCAGGGGUAAGAGACAAACCGCGAUUAAAGAACCGUCAAGGAAUGUCGCUGUCACGGGGUUGUCGGUCGCGCUGGCAGCGACUGCCGCUACACUAAAACUAAAACUGAAGACAUGUGUGCAGUCCCCACUCGUAAGAGUCCCUCGUGCAUCCAACACAAACCUCCUGACACGCACCCAUUUCCUCACGCACGUGCCACGACCACCAAUACUCAAAAUUAUAAUACAGAAAUACACGCGUGUCCGGCCUGCAGGCCUCUCUGCCUUCCUCAAUGCGUCAUCCCGCCGAUACGUCGAGGGGCACCGAAAUCUCGGAAGACCUGCAUCCACAGUCAAAUUUGACCGUAUGGUAAUCUGCCAACUGCUCGAGGGAACCGAGUUAUAGAGACGGUGAAUUCGUGUUUAAUACUCACACGGUUGCCGGUCUUGGACUGCAGCUAUUUCCAGAGCCAAGCUGUGUGUGGAGGUCCUGCAUCUGCGCCCGUAUAACGCAUCGUGACGAAACAAACGGUGUUCGUGAUCUGCGUAAAAAUAUGCCCCUUACCUCCAUUCCCUGGAAAGCCGGUGACCGGUGGCACUUUGUGGCGAUAUGAAGAUAAGCGAGGAAGAGGAAAGAGAGAGAGAGAGGACUGAGAAUAUCUUUUGAAGGAAAUCUGAGACCUGGGAAUUCGCCUCACCCUGCUUUGUGUACAUAUGGGGUAACUUAGGGACAUAACCGAAGCGACUGGACGGACUCGAAGUCAACGUGUCUCGUAAAUUAUUCCACGGAGCUUGCAGCCCUCGAUCAUCAAAUCCUGCCAAAAAUUUGGAUCCUGGAAGCAGAAGAACGGUUGAAGAAGCCAAAUUUUCGGGAUCACCGCCGUUCCAUAACUGUUACGGCUCAACUCACCGUCAAGAGGAUCUACCCAAAUACACAAAUCCUUGUCCUCCACUUCUUCGAGAUCCUGAGGAAGCCUUACGCCAAGAACCUGCUGAUCAGAGUCAGUUACCACCCAAUCGGAAGGGACUUCGCAGUUUGACGGUCCCUCUUCUCCGAUUAUAGCGACGUUGGGAAACUGCCUGCUGAGAGAAGCGACGAUACACCUUUGCGCCGAUCUGUCAGCUUCGGUUUGGGGAUCGUUCUUUCCCUUGUUCACUAUGUUCAGUUCGCCUCCGGUCAUCACGUCCCUGAUUAUCUUUCCGGCACGUCCAGCUACUGUCACUGAGGAUGCGACCACGCGCAAAAGAAGUGGAGCACUCUGCGCCAUAGCGAUGAAAUCGGAUGCCGGCUUGUCUGAUUG